AUGAACGUGUUGCCCGGUUCGAUUGCAGACUUACUGAGAGCUCCUAGAAUGACAAAAGCACAGAAGAAAGAAUCUGUUCAGAAGACAAGAAACCAAGGAAACAGGAACUCCCUCAGGUUCAAAACUAACUUCAGUGAGAGCUCUGGGAUGACCCAUGUACAGGAGCAGAUGCUAUGCAGCAUAUAUCUGGAAGCAGUUGGAAGGGUACCAGCAUUUACUCCUUACUCUUACACAAGCAUGGACAAGUCUGUCUUUCCACAAGAUCAGCUGUGUGUUUUUGAAGUCUGCCUACACUGUUCUUCCAGUUUUCUUCACAGAUUUCUAAAAUAGAGGGAAGCAGCAGUCUUGUGGAAGAGACAAUGAUGAAACCAGAAGCAGAGCUACAACUGUUGCUGAAAACGUAUCCGGAGGACUCCUGGGUUCACAACCUGGUUCAUGUGACCAUGUAGAAGUUAACAUCUUUCCUCUUGAGAUAAACUGCAAUGUGAAUCUUUCAAUUUCAGACAUACUAAUCAUGAUUUUUAAUGUAUUUAUAACAUUGCUUUCUCAGCAAUAAUUGAUGAAUACUUGUUGGAUUUACUCCAUGAUUUUUAAUUUAAUACAUACUUACUCUAAUGUAAUUUUCAAAUAUACCUUUAUGGGCUUAUGUGCAAGAUUUUGCAUUUGUUAGGCUUUAUUUUUCCAUCUUAUUAUUUUCUGGGUUUUUUUCCUUUUUUUUUUUUCAGUGGAUAAAUACCUCUUGUAAUAAUGCGUCAGAGAGUAAAACACUUAGACUGUAUUCUCUGAUAUUAUUUUAGGAAUUCCUGAAAAGGUAAAAUUUGUUUUAGUUAUGAAAUUGUAGAGUAAGAUUUGAAAUCUAAAUUAAAUCAUCGCAUACAGAAUAUUUAGUGUCCUUCCCACUCCCACUACAAGCAAGAAGCAGAUGAAGAAAGAAUUCAAGCAUAAAAAUUACUUGAGAAGGAAAGAGAAAGAAAGGAAGAACGAAAGAAGAAAGAAAGAACAAAGUCCAGAGAAAGAAAGGGUUAGGAUUAGUGUUAGUUUAAGGGUUAGGAUUAGAGUUAGAGUUUGGGUUAGUGUUUAAUGUUAUUAGUGUUUUGGUUACGGUUAUGGUUAGGAUUCAGGAUAGGCUUAGGUUUAGGAUAGUUGCUGUAGGAAGUGGCAGUGAUCUUCUAGGGAGUUUGUUUGCCUGCACCGUGGCCUUGAAAAAACAACUGCAACAAAUUCUUUGUUAGUAGAUGAUUGCUAUUCCUUAUGACCUUUGAAAUAAAGUCAAGGCCGUUAGCA
rnacentral:lncRNA from 1 species